AAGCAGGAUUCAAACUACAAUAUAGCUAAGUGCUAUGUUGUCAUUACUCCUGCUCAAAAUAAAGUUGUUUCUUAACUAUAGUUGUCUGCUAUACUCCUGUAACAGCCAGGGGUAUUUGGUCUCAUACAU